AUACGGAGGGUGCAAGCGUUGUCCGGAUUUAUUGGGUUUAAAGGGUGCGUAGGUGGUUUUUUAAGUCAGUGGUGAAAGCCUACAGCUUAACUGUAGAGGUGCCAUUGAAACUGGAAAACUUGAGUAUGGACGAGGUAGGCGGAAUUUGUGGUGUAGCGGUGAAAUGCAUAGAUACUACAAAGAACACCGAUAGCGAAGGCAGCUUACUAGGCCAUAACUGACACUGAGGCACGAAAGUGUGGGGAGCGAACAGGAUUAGAAACCCCGGUAGUCC
rnacentral:rRNA from 1 species